rnacentral:rRNA from 1 species
GCUUACGGUCAUAUCAUGCUGAGAGCACCGGUUCUCGUCCGAUCACCGAAGUUAAGCAACGUCGAGCCUAGUGAGUACUUAGAUGGGUGACCGCUUGGGAAACCUAGGUGCUGUCAGCG